GACGAACGCUGGUGGCGUGCUUAACACAUGCAAGUCGAACGGAAAGGCCCUGCUUUUGUGGGGUGCUCGAGUGGCGAACGGGUGAGUAACACGUGAGUAACCUGCCCUUGACUUUGGGAUAACUUCAGGAAACUGGGGCUAAUACCGGAUAGGAGCUCCUGCUGCAUGGUGGGGGUUGGAAAGUUUCGGCGGUUGGGGAUGGACUCGCGGCUUAUCAGCUUGUUGGUGGGGUAGUGGCUUACCAAGGCUUUGACGGGUAGCCGGCCUGAGAGGGUGACCGGCCACAUUGGGACUGAGAUACGGCCCAGACUCCUACGGGAGGCAGCAGUGGGGAAUAUUGCACAAUGGGCGGAAGCCUGAUGCAGCAACGCCGCGUGCGGGAUGACGGCCUUCGGGUUGUAAACCGCUUUCGCCUGUGACGAAGCGUGAGUGACGGUAAUGGGUAAAGAAGCACCGGCUAACUAUGUG
rnacentral:rRNA from 1 species